rnacentral:rRNA from 1 species
UACAGAGGUGGCAAGCGUUGUUCGGAAUUACUGGGCGUAAAGGGCGCGUAGGCGGCCUUCUAAGUCAGACGUGAAAUCCCCCGGCUUAACCUGGGAACUGCGUCUGAUACUGGAGGGCUUGAGUGCGGGAGAGGGAUGUGGAAUUCCAGGUGUAGCGGUGAAAUGCGUAGAUAUUGGGAGGAACACCAGUGGCGAAGGCGGCUCACUGGACCGGAACUGACGCUGAGGCGCGAAAGCGUGGGGAGCAAACAGG